rnacentral:rRNA from 1 species
GACGUACUGCGCGAACGUUAUUCGGAAUCACUGGGCUUAAAGGGUGCGCAGGCGGCUCGUCAAGCCCGUGGUGAAAGGCCCCGGCCCAACCGGGGACGGUCUUCGGGGACUGACGAGCUCGGGCGAGCUAGGGGGUCUGUGGAACUCCCGGUGGAGCGGUGAAAUGUGUUGAGAUCGGGAGGAACGCCGGUGGCGAAAGCGACAGACUGGGGGCUUGGCCGACGCUCAGGCACGAAAAGCCAGGGGGAGCGAACGGGG